rnacentral:rRNA from 1 species
GAUGAACGCUGGCGGCGUGCCUAAUACAUGCAAGUCGAGCGAACGGACGAGAAGCUUGCUUCUCUGAUGUUAGCGGCGGACGGGUGAGUAACACGUGGAUAACCUACCUAUAAGACUGGGAUAACUUCGGGAAACCGGAGCUAAUACCGGAUAAUAUUUUGAACCGCAUGGUUCAAAAGUGAAAGACGGUCUUGCUGUCACUUAUAGAUGGAUCCGCGCUGCAUUAGCUAGUUGGUAAGGUAACGGCUUACCAAGGCAACGAUGCAUAGCCGACCUGAGAGGGUGAUCGGCCACACUGGAACUGAGACACGGUCCAGACUCCUACGGGAGGCAGCAGUAGGGAAUCUUCCGCAAUGGGCGAAAGCCUGACGGAGCAACGCCGCGUGAGUGAUGAAGGUCUUCGGAUCGUAAAACUCUGUUAUUAGGGAAGAACAUAUGUGUAAGUAACUGUGCACAUCUUGACGGUACCUAGUCAGAAAGCCACGGCUAACUACGUGCCAGCAGCCGCGGUAAUACGUAGGUGGCAAGCGUUAUCCGGAAUUAUUGGGCGUAAAGCGCGCGUAGGCGGUUUUUUAAGUCUGAUGUGAAAGCCCACGGCUCAACCGUGGAGGGUCAUUGGAAACUGGAAAACUUGAGUGCAGAAGAGGAAAGUGGAAUUCCAUGUGUAGCGGUGAAAUGCGCAGAGAUAUGGAGGAACACCAGUGGCGAAGGCGACUUUCUGGUCUGUAACUGACGCUGAUGUGCGAAAGCAUGGGGAUCAAACAGGAUUAGAUACCCUGGUAGUCCACGCCGUAAACGAUGAGUGCUAAGUGUUAGGGGGUUUCCGCCCCUUAGUGCUGCAGCUAACGCAUUAAGCACUCCGCCUGGGGAGUACGACCGCAAGGUUGAAACUCAAAGGAAUUGACGGGGACCCGCACAAGCGGUGGAGCAUGUGGUUUAAUUCGAAGCAACGCGAAGAACCUUACCAAAUCUUGACAUCCUUUGACAACUCUAGAGAUAGAGCCUUCCCCUUCGGGGGACAAAGUGACAGGUGGUGCAUGGUUGUCGUCAGCUCGUGUCGUGAGAUGUUGGGUUAAGUCCCGCAACGAGCGCAACCCUUAAGCUUAGUUGCCAUCAUUAAGUUGGGCACUCUAAGUUGACUGCCGGUGACAAACCGGAGGAAGGUGGGGAUGACGUCAAAUCAUCAUGCCCCUUAUGAUUUGGGCUACACACGUGCUACAAUGGACAAUACAAAGGGCAGCGAAACCGCGAGGUCAAGCAAAUCCCAUAAAGUUGUUCUCAGUUCGGAUUGUAGUCUGCAACUCGACUACAUGAAGCUGGAAUCGCUAGUAAUCGUAGAUCAGCAUGCUACGGUGAAUACGUUCCCGGGUCU